GGUAGAAAUGUUGGGUCAUAUGGUAAGUAAGUAUAUGUUUAAUUUUAUAAGAAACUGUUAAACUGUUUUCUAAACUCGAUGUACCACUUGACAUUCCCACCAGCAAU
rnacentral:pre_miRNA from 1 species